AGUACGGCCGCAAGGUUAAAACUCAAAUGAAUUGACGGGGGCCCGCACAAGCGGUGGAGCAUGUGGUUUAAUUCGAUGCAACGCGAAGAACCUUACCUGGUCUUGACAUCCACGGAAGUUUUCAGAGAUGAGAAUGUGCCUUCGGGAACCGUGAGACAGGUGCUGCAUGGCUGUCGUCAGCUCGUGUUGUGAAAUGUUGGGUUAAGUCCCGCAACGAGCGCAACCCUUAUCCUUUGUUGCCAGCGGUCCGGCCGGGAACUCAAAGGAGACUGCCAGUGAUAAACUGGAGGAAGGUGGGGAUGACGUCAAGUCAUCAUGGCCCUUACGACCAGGGCUACACACGUGCUACAAUGGCGCAUACAAAGAGAAGCGACCUCGCGAGAGCAAGCGGACCUCAUAAAGUGCGUCGUAGUCCGGAUUGGAGUCUGCAACUCGACUCCAUGAAGUCGGAAUCGCUAGUAAUCGUGGAUCAGAAUGCCACGGUGAAUACGUUCCCGGGCCUUGUACACACCGCCCGUCACACCAUGGGAGUGGGUUGCAAAAGAGGUAGGUAGCUUAACCUUCGGGAGGGCGCUUACCACUUUGUGAUUCAUGACUGGGGUGAAGUCGUAACAAGGUAACC
rnacentral:rRNA from 1 species